UGUGUGUGUGUGUGUGUGUGUGUGUGUGCACUGCAGUGUGAUGGAGGUUUUUGUACGAUGGUUUCAUUAGAAUGUAUCACUGUGGUACACUUUUGGUGGAGGCUCCAAACUCGUGGUGAACACGGGUCCCACAGCUCCCUCCGUGUCUCUGCUCCCUCCGUCCCCUCUGCAGCUGUGUGAGGGAUCGGCCUCGCUGCUCUGCCUGCUGUCUGGCUACUCUCCACAGGGGGCGCUGGUGAGCUGGACAGUGGACGGCUCACAGGUGAAGAACGAGGUUCUGACCAGCGCAGAAGAAGAGAAGAACGGCCGUUACAGCCGCAGCAGCACCCUGACCCUCAGCAAAGACCUCUGGGAAAAGGGGGAGGAGUUCAGCUGUAGGGUCUCCCAUAACAACGUCGUUCAUCCGGUCACGUUCAGAAAGAGUCAGUGUGAAGGCUAGUGGAUCCAAGAUAGAGUUUAACGUAGAGCUGCUUAUGAUCCAUCUACAAUAGAGUUUCAAUUCUACACAAUGCUGACAUUUCUGUCUUUACUCUCUUCACUGUCCUGUUGCUCUUCCUGUAGUUUUUGCUGAAAUAAAGCUGAGUUUUGGACGUUGUGUGUUCUUUUAUUGGAGUUAAUAGUGAUGAUCAGUGUGAUGAGAGAGUGGGAUUAGCUGUAGAUUCAGUGCUGUGUGUUGUGCUUCAGUGAGUUUGACUGAAGGAAGUUGAACAUCUGGUGAAGUUUCUGCUCUAUUCUGGGAGAAAUGAAACUCUUCAGUCCUGUUCAUGCGAAUCUCACACAUCACUGCUUUCUCUCUCACACACACUCUCUCACUUUCUCUCUCUCUUACAUGAAAUAACCUUUUCAUAAACCAUAUCUUGUAUCUUAUUUGGACUUAAUUAUAACAACACACACACAGGCAGUAAUGAAACAAAUUUUUCUUUGGGUCCAGUUGGAUUACAGCAGGGGUGUCCAAUCUUAUCCGGAAAGGGCCGGUGUGGGUGCAGGUUUUCAUUGCAACCAAGGUGUGGCUCCUGCUUGGUUGAAAGAAAACCUGCACCCACUCCAGCCACUUAAGGAUAAGAUUGGACACCCCUAGAUUACAGGCUACAAACAUGGUUUCUUAUUGAUCCCUUUUAUUAGCAAUGAGUAAUCCAUCAAAGUAAUCCAGCAAAGAGUAAUCCAUCCAUCCAUUUUCUGUACCACUUAUCCUUCAGGGUAACGGGGAACCUGGAGCCUAUGCCAGGAAGCAUCGGGCACAAGGCGGGGUACACCCUGGACAAGGUGCCAGUCAAUCGCAGGGCACAAUCACACAAUCACAUACACACUCAUACACCCAUUCAUACACUACGGACACUUUAGACACGCCUACCAUGCAUGUCUUUGGACUGGGGGAGGAAACCGGAGUACCCGGAGGAAAUCCCCGCAGCACGGGGAGAACAUGCAAACUCCACACACACGGCCCCGGCUGGAAUCGAACCCCGGCCGCAUGAGGCGAACGUGCUAACCACUAAGCCACCGUGCUUGAACAUUAACUCUAAUGUCCUGAACAUUAACUCUAACAUAAUAAAUUUUUUUGUUGAACCAGUCCUGUUCAGAUGAAGCUGAGGAGAGAGCUAAGAUUGCUCGAGAGAAUGACGCUCAACUGGAGCAUGAGAACGCCUUCCUGAAGGACCAGGAGUGAGACUGGAAGGAUCACAGAACCCUUUUGUCCCACUAUGAAGACAUUAAGGGGCUCUCUGGCUGAAGCUCAGCAGAAUGCUGAGAACACUCAGGACUGCAGUACUCAGCUGGAGAAUGAGAUGCUCACCCUGAUGAAACAACUGAAGGUAUACAGGGUUCAGCUGAGGACUGUCUACAGAACUCUAUUGUCAGAUGACGCUUAAGGUAAGUGAGAAAAGCUUUCCAUUAAGCCGUACUUUUGAAUAAUAAUAUGACUCUGCUUUUGCUGCCUGUUGAAUUACACUACAGGCUGAACUCCUGAUCCUCAGUAAAUAAUGCCAACAUAUUUCUGUUUGUUCUCUUUUUAACGUGGAAUCAAUGAAGUCAAAGAAGCUGAAAAUAUAUGAUCACCAACAAAGAUGCUGCACAUCUUAUAACAAAGAAAAUAAAAAAUAAUCGAUGAAACAAGAAAGAAAUAAAGAAUGAUCUAUG